rnacentral:rRNA from 1 species
CCUACGGGUGGCAGCAGUGGGGAAUAUUGCACAAUGGGGGAAACCCUGAUGCAGCGACGCCGCGUGAAGGAAGAAGUAUUUCGGUAUGUAAACUUCUAUCAGCAGGGAAGAAAAUGACGGUACCUGACUAAGAAGCCCCGGCUAACUACGUGCCAGCAGCCGCGGUAAUACGUAGGGGGUAAGCGUUAUCCGGAUUUACUGGGUGGAAAGGGAGGGUAGGCGGUAUAGCAAGUCAGAAGUGAAAGCCCGGGGCUCAACUCCGGGACUGCUUUUGAAACUGUUGAACUAGAUUGCAGGAGAGGUAAGUGGAAUUCCUAGUGUAGCGGUGAAAUGCGUAGAUAUUAGGAGGAACACCAGUGGCGAAGGCGGCUUGCUGGACUGUAAAUGACGCUGAGGCUCGAAAGCGUGGGGAGCAAACAGGAUUAGAUACCCGAGUAGUC